UAGUGGCGGACGGGUGAGUAACACGUGGGAACGUGCCUUUAGGUUCGGAAUAACUCAGGGAAACUUGUGCUAAUACCGAAUGUGCCCUUCGGGGGAAAGAUUUAUCGCCUUUAGAGCGGCCCGCGUCUGAUUAGCUAGUUGGCUGAGGUAAUGGCUCACCAAGGCGACGAUCAGUAGCUGGUCUGAGAGGAUGAUCAGCCACAUUGGGACUGAGACACGGCCCAAACUCCUACGGGAGGCAGCAGUGGGGAAUCUUGCGCAAUGGGCGAAAGCCUGACGCAGCCAUGCCGCGUGAAUGAUGAAGGUCUUAGGAUUGUAAAAUUCUUUCACCGGGGACGAUAAUGACGGUACCCGGAGAAGAAGCCCCGGCUAACUUCGUGCCAGCAGCCGCGGUAAUACGAAGGGGGCUAGCGUUGCUCGGAAUUACUGGGCGUAAAGGGAGCGUAGGCGGACAUUUAAGUCAGGGGUGAAAUCCCGGGGCUCAACCUCGGAAUUGCCUUUGAUACUGGGUGUCUUGAGUAUGAGAGAGGUGUGUGGAACUCCGAGUGUAGAGGUGAAAUUCGUAGAUAUUCGGAAGAACACCAGUGGCGAAGGCGACACACUGGCUCAUUACUGACGCUGAGGCUCGAAAGCGUGGGGAGCAAACAGGAUUAGAUACCCUGGUAGUCCACGCCGUAGACGAUGAUUGCUAGUUGUCGGGAUGCAUGCAUUUCGGUGACGCAGCUAACGCAUUAAGCAAUCCGCCUGGGGAGUACGGUCGCAA
rnacentral:rRNA from 1 species